rnacentral:ncRNA from 13 species
CGUCUAGAGGCCUAGGACACCGCCCUUUCACGGCGGUAACAGGGGUUCGAAUCCCCUUGG